AGUGUUGACAGAUAAAGCUCUGUGUUUUAUAUUCCUUGGCUGGAGUUGCUUUAAUGUUUAAAUCGUAUAUGAGGUAGAUUGUGAAGCAAUACGUGGUGCAAUAAGUGUCACUAUCGGUUUCCACUGAAGAUACACUCCUUUCCGAGGAGGAAGUGAUCCUGAUAAAGAACGCGUUUACUUAAUGUUACAGGAUAUCUUUCUACAUUCAAUAUCUAAUUCAUGUAUCUAAAAUGACCGACCCUUCAACGUGGAUAACAUUGACAGAUUUUGUGUGCCCGGUGAAAACGUGUCCUUCAAG